rnacentral:rRNA from 1 species
AAUCAACGCUGGCGGCGUGCCUAACACAUGCAAGUCGAACGCGAAAGGGGAGCAAUCCCUGAGUAGAGUGGCAAACGGGUGAGUAACACGUGGGUGACCUGCCUUCGAGUGGGGGAUAACGUCCCGAAAGGGACGCUAAUACCGCAUGACAUCCUGCUCUUGGACGAGCGGAGAUCAAAGCUGGGGAUCGCAAGACCUGGCGCUUGAAGAGGGGCCCGCGCCUGAUUAGCUAGUUGGUGAGGUAACGGCUCACCAAGGCAACGAUCAGUAUCCGGCCUGAGAGGGCGGACGGACACACUGGGACUGAGACACGGCCCAGACUCCUACGGGAGGCAG